GAUCACUGCCCACUUGAGGUCUUCUGGUGCCUAGAACCUUGCUACCCUGCUGUUAUGGCUGUACUUUCCAUUGUGUUACAUCCACAUACCAGAAGGCUGCCUAGAUGGGUUGUGGAGGUCUGUUUUUGCUUGCUGUGUAAGACUUGGUCUGCAUUGGAGGGGUUUGUGACCAGAGGUGGACCUGGAAGAACAGACCUCCCUCCUUUGAUCAAAGCCUCGUGAAGAUGAAGACAUUAUGCUCCUGGAAAUUUGGGUCUUGGGAAAUCCAACCCAGCUUGGCUGCCUGUAGCAGAACUCAUUGCUGCAGCAGCCCCUCAGCACCAGGUCCCUCUGCUGGCUGGGUGUGCCCUGCUGUGCCAAGGAAGCUCUGCAGCUGUCUGUGUUAGAGACUGAGGCAGCUGAAUGCUGCCCUACCUAUCAGCAUGGGGAGGUCAGCCAAGGGAACACAUUUUACUUGCAGAGUUAAUAUAAUUGUUUAGAGCAGACAGGCAGCUCAACACUUCUGUUAACUUACAAAAUCUAGCAUCUCAGGAGAAUGUGUCUGGACUCAGCAAGGUGGUUUUCAUAGGCAAGGCUUUGUUGUUAACCUGCAUGUUUGGCUGGAGAGUGUCCUCUUUGCUUUGAACAAGACGUGUUCAUGGACUGGAAGCUGUUUCUGUGGGGCUGUGUGGUUCUAAUGCUGUGAGAUCUCUCGGCUGCACCAGCACAAAAUCUCUGGUCACUGCUGCUGGAUUGUCCGGCCAGGGCCAGCUGCAGGUGUGGCGAGGCCAAUGCGUUUUAUCAACUGUUCUGGGGAGAAGCAGGGUCUAAAUGAGAUGACAAGUGAAUUAUGUGGUCAGAAUUGAAAGAUGAUCAGCAUCUCCUUAUAAUGAGCUCUGCUUAAUAUGUCAGAAGCCCCCACGUGCUUUAUCUGCAUUCCGGCCAGCUAGGAGCCUUACACAGACUUCACACAAUUAUUUGUCACAGCUGAUCUGGGUGAGGCACAUUUGAGAUGUAAGAUGUGUGACUCAAACCUCUUUCAUUCCCUCAAGAAUUUUCUCUUCUGCCUGAAAUGGGCUCUUGGAAUGCAAAAGCAGGGCAUACAGACUGCUGCUCCUCAUUUGGGGCACUAGGGCUGAUGAAGGGGCAGAAGUACAAGCGGCUGAGUGGUGUGGGCUGCGUGUCUCUGUGCAGUGAUGCACUCAAUUACAUGUGCAGCUGCUGCCCUGUGCGUGCAGAUCUGAUAAGGAAGGAGCAGUGCUCUGUCAUUGCUGGUGGCCAAACAGUUGGAGCCUGAAGGUUUUGCUUUAGGUGGCACUUUCAAAGAUGCUGCCUUAAAGUGCCUGAUGAUCAGGUUUAUACGGACAACUUGCAUGCCCGUCUGCUGAGAUGUGUGUCUCAUGCAGAUUUGCUCUUCUCCUCCAGCUCUACUUUCCUUUUCAACACAUCUAUACAUGCUUCUCACUGUGCCUUUGUAUUUUGUGCUUUAUAUAUCUUGCUGCUGUGAUAUGUAUUAACUACUCAGGCUCCCAAGGGUCUCAGAAGAUGAGUCUACAAGAAUCCAGUAAUAAUCCAUUUGUGUACGAAACGUGUUCUUCAGUGUUAGUGCAUUGUGGAGGGCUGCUGUUACCUGACAGCUGGAGCAGAGCCUGCAGACAGCAAUGCUUUGAGCUGUGCCUCGGGCUCUUCGAUAACUCCUGGUGAAUCACCAGCAUCUUUCCUGCUCUCUGUACCCAAGAGCAGGCAGGCUCAUCUCACCAAGGAGCGCUGGUGGUGCUCACGAGUGGUUUCCUGAGCUAUCACCAGUGUGGCACCAUGCAGUUUAGUGCGGUGCGACUAGUGCCACCUAGCUUGUCACCUUAUCACCCACACCUCAGGUGACUGGGCUUUUCCAGACGUUUCUGGUGACACGUGUAGCAACAAAGCAGCUCCCUCUGGUGCGCAAUGGUGUUUUUGAUGUAUUGUCCACUGGCUUCUGCUUUAA